rnacentral:rRNA from 1 species
AGUGAACGCUGGCGGUAGGCCUAACACAUGCAAGUCGAACGGCAGCACAGUAAGAGCUUGCUCUUACGGGUGGCGAGUGGCGGACGGGUGAGGAAUACAUCGGAAUCUACUUUUUCGUGGGGGAUAACGUAGGGAAACUUACGCUAAUACCGCAUACGACCUACGGGUGAAAGCAGGGGAUCUUCGGACCUUGCGCGAUUGAAUGGGCCGAUGUCGGAUUAGCUAGUUGGCGGGGUAAAGGCCCACCAAGGCGACGAUCCGUAGCUGGUCUGAGAGGAUGAUCAGCCACACUGGAACUGAGACACGGUCCAGACUCCUACGGGAGGCAGCAGUGGGGAAUAUUGGACAAUGGGCGCAAGCCUGAUCCAGCCAUACCGCGUGGGUGAAGAAGGCCUUCGGGUUGUAAAGCCCUUUUGUUGGGAAAGAAAAGCGGCAGGUUAAUACCCCGCUGUUCUGACGGUACCCAAAGAAUAAGCACCGGCUAACUUCGUG